rnacentral:lncRNA from 1 species
GGCCGGGCCGGGCGGCGGCGGCGGCGGCGGCGGCGUCGUCGUCAGCGGCGGCAGCGGCAGCAGCGCUCCCCGGCAGCAUGGGCGGCUCUGCCUCCAGCCUGCUGGACGAGAGCAAGUGCACCUACAUCCGAGGAAGGAGCAUUGAAACGUUGAGGCGGAAGAGCUGAGCGGCCGAGGAGACUCAAACACACAUUUAGUGAGAGG